AGUUGAACAUAAUAUCAUUUGGAUCUAUGAUUCUAAUGUGACUUGGAAGAUCCCUCAAACGAAUGUCUCGUAUUCCUGGAAUCCAGUCUAUAAUGGUGUCCAGAUACCCAUUGCUUAGGUAACUCUCAUCUGCAUGAGCAAAAUAGUUAUUGCAUACAUGUAACAUUACAAUAUAGUUAUUACAUGAACAUUUAGUUGUGACAAAAUCAUACCUUUUAAUGGUACAAGACCUCUAUCGCGGGCAUUUUUGAAUUGAUAAAAUCCCAUAAAUCCACAAGCAGCAAUUGUCCAAAGCAAAACGACAGGAAUUCCAAGAGAAUGUGCAGCAUCCGCUGUGAAUGGCAUGAAUCCGUCAGAGAGGAUUGAAGUGACUGGAUGAAUUCCAGC
rnacentral:lncRNA from 1 species